rnacentral:rRNA from 1 species
GUGGGCGGGCUUAAGCAUAUAAUUAAGCGGAGGAAAAGAAACUAACUAGGAUUCCCCCAGUAAGGGCGACUGAAGCGGGAUGAGCUCAGGAUGUGAAUCUGUGUUCUUUGACAGGACACCGAAUUGUGGUCUGAAGACUGUGACAUUAUCCUUCCGGGCCAAGUCCCUUGGAAAAGGGCAGCGUAGAGGGUGACACUCCCGUGGGCCUGGUGGAAUGAGUUACAAGUCAACGAGUCGAGUUGUUUGGGAUUGCAGCUCUAAUUGGGUGGUAAAUUCCAUCUAAAGCAGAAUAUUGGUGGGAGACCGAUAGCGUACAAGUACCGUGAGGGAAAGAUGCAAAGAACUUUGAAAAGAGAGUUAAAGAGUACCUGAAAUUGCUGAAACGGAAGCGAAGGAAACCAGUGUUUUUGGGUCUUGCCAUACUUCCCUUGCCGCUUGCGGUUUGGGCGCUGUGGCUUGGCCGUCUGUCUGCCUUGGUUGGAUUUGUGUUGUGGAAGGGCGCCGUCAGAGUUGAUGACCGGUUGCCGUGCACGACCUCUGACUGAGUUUGCAUACGAAAUGGUUUUCUUUACCCCGUCUUGAA